AACGUAGGAGGCGAGCGUUAUCCGGAUUUAUUGGGCGUAAAGCGCAUGCAGGUGGUUUCGUAAGUCGGAUGUGAAAGCCUCUGGCUUAACUGGAGGAGGUCGUUCGAUACUGCGAGACUUGAGGUCGGGAGAGGGAAGCGGAAUUCCCGGUGUAGUGGUGGAAUGCGUAGAUAUCGGGAGGAACACCAGUGGCGAAGGCGGCUUCCUGGCCCGUACCUGACGCUAAGAUGCGAAAGCGUGGGGAGCGAACGGG
rnacentral:rRNA from 2 species